rnacentral:rRNA from 1 species
UNUGACUUGAGUGCAGAAGGGGAGAGUGGAAUUCCAUGUGUAGCGGUGAAAUGCGUAGAUAUAUGGAGGAACACCAGUGGCGAAAGCGGCUCUCUGGUCUGUCACUGACGCUGAGGCUCGAAAGCGUGGGUAGCGAACAGGAUUAGAUACCCUGGUAGUCCACGCCGUAAACGAUGAGUGCUAGGUGUUAGGCCCUUUCCGGGGCUUAGUGCCGGAGCUAACGCAAUAAGCACUCCGCCUGGGGAGUACGACCGCAAGGUUGAAACUCAAAGGAAUUGACGGGGGCCCGCACAAGCGGUGGAGCAUGUGGUUUAAUUCGAAGCAACGCGAAGAACCUUACCAGGUCUUGACAUCCCGAUGCUAUUCUUAGAGAUAGGAAGUUACUUCGGUACAUCGGAGACAGGUGGUGCAUGGUUGUCGUCAGCUCGUGUCGUGAGAUGUUGGGUUAAGUCCCGCAACGAGCGCAACCCUUAUUGUUAGUUGCCAUCAUUAAGUUGGGCACUCUAGCGAGACUGCCGGUAAUAAACCGGAGGAAGGUGGGGAUGACGUCAAAUCAUCAUGCCCCUUAUGACCUGGGCUACACACGUGCUACAAUGGUCGGUACAACGAGUUGCGAGCCGGUGACGGCAAGCUAAUCUCUGAAAGCCGAUCUCAGUUCGGAUUGGAGGCUGCAACUCGCCUCCAUGAAGUCGGAAUCGCUAGUAAUCGCGGAUCAGCACGCCGCGGUGAAUACGUUCCCGGGCCUUGUACACACCGCCCGUCACACCACGAGAGUUUGUAACACCCGAAGUCGGUGAGGUANCCUUUUAGGG